GCGACCCCAUGGACUGCAGCCUUCCAGUCUCCUCCAUCCAUGGGAUUUUCCAGGCAAGAGUACUGGAGUGGGGUGCCACUGCCUUCUCCUGUAUGUAUGUAUAGCAACCAGUAUAUGUACACAUUUCUAUAUCUAUUUCUGUAAUUGUUGUUAUUCAGUCGCCAAGUCAUGUCUGACUCUUCAAGAAAUAUGUAUUCCUAUAAUACAUAAUUACAAACAUAUGUAUUUCUGUAAUAUAUGUAUUUUAAAAUAAACUUAGGUUCACAUUGAUAAUAUAUCAAACUCUUAACCUAGCACUUAUAUUAACAUUCAGGUCAACAUAAAGAAUUUUUUCUUUAGUAUCCAUUGAUAUGUUUUAUUUCUAUUUUUUAGAAAGAAUUUAUUUUUAAAGAUGGCCUAUAGCUACAACUAUUAUAUAGAUCCACUUCUACAUAAAAAUAACAUUUCUUAAUAGCUAAGUAUUUUUAAAAUAUACAGUUACGCUUAUUUUAACACCCCUUAUUCACACUCACAAAUGUCCCCAUCUGGAUAAUAAACUCUAAAAUGACCCUGAAGUGACUCAAUCUGAGCUCAGUAGACCCUUUGAAUGCUGUGAUUUAGAGCAAAGCCCCUCAAGCUGUUAGGUCCAUACGAGUCACCUGAGGAUCUUGUUACACUGCAGACUCUGACUCAGUAGGACUUGGUGGGGGAGGGGCCUGAGAGUCUGCAUUUCUGACAAGCUCCCAGGUGACACGAGUGCUGCAGGGGUGCAGACUGCUUUGAGUGACAAGGCUAAAGAUGACGAUGAUGGUCAUUACAUGAGCUUUCAUUACAUGAGUUGCCUGUGUCGCCAGUCCUAUCCAGUCUUGCUAUCUUCCUUACUCCAGGCUCCACUCCUACUGAACUCAGUAACCACUAUGAUUCCACUUGGGUCUGUAGCUCUUUUCUGCAUUUUGACACCUAUUCGUGUUUGGAGGUGUAUGAUCAGUCCACUCAAAAUGGCUGUUCUCUUGCUCUCUGUCUAUCCCCCUACUUGACCCGUGCCUGCUUCACCUAGACCCUACUGACAAGACUCACCUGCUCUCUUAAUCAGAGCCUAAUCUGUAGAUGCCUACAUACUUGCCCCAGGCCCCACUCGGUGGCUGUUCUAAUCUUUAAAUCAGAACUCUCCACCAUGAUAACUUCUCAAAGGGAUGGUGAAGGGCAGGCGCCUCUGCUGGUUUCCCUGGUAACCAGUGAGCCCACCUGAAGUCAAUUCCCUUUGUAGCUGGUAACCUCCCUGUCUGUGGUAGUGAAGACUGUUGCUGUGUCUUGCUCACCCUUCCUCAUACAUAGAGGGGGUGUCGCUCCCGGACCUUGCUUCUGAUGGGCAAAACAAAGGCCAAACGCAGAGGAGUUCUUGCUCAAUAAACGGGAAGUAACAAAUGAAGGAAUCUGGAAGCAGAGUGAACAGCUAGCUGAAUGGUGCCUUUGUCCACAAUUUCACAGGUCAACAGGUGAGGAAGAAAUUCACCCUCAAAACUGCAGCAACACCAACUCCUUUCUGGGUUUCCAGCUACCCUGUCCUACAGAUUUCAGACCUGCAGCCUCUUCAGUCAUGUGUCAAGAUCCUCCCCCCAGCACAUCAUACCAAUAGAAGCAAGCUUUGUAUACUUGUGAGCCUGUAGGCAUAAACAUUUUAAGUGUGGAGGACGGGCCUCUAAAAGAAGACUUGAGGGACUUCUGGCAAAAUAGAGCAGAAAAUCCUCACUCGCAGGAGCUAUUUAAAGUCUCUGGCCUUGCAUUGAAACUGCGGAUUUGGCAGGAGCAGGUUUCAGCUGGAUUUUCUGGGCACUUUUAGACAAAGAAGUUACAAAUGAUGCAAGAAAUUGGGGUGGAAAAGCUAGAAUGAACCCAAGCAGCAGCGUCUGACGGUUGAUCUCGGGUCUCUUCAGCUGAUGCGGGCUUGCUCCGGGCAGAAAACAAGAUGGCUCACUGCCUGCUCUCUCGCGGUCCUGAGGAGAUAGUCACAGUGCUGCCUCACUCCCAGUAUAAGACCUGAGAGGCAGCAGGAAUUUGCUUAAUGGUCCAGGUACACCGCUCCCUCGGUGGCUCAGAGGGUAAAACACCUGCCCGCAAUGCGGGAG